rnacentral:rRNA from 1 species
UACGUAGGUGGCGAGCGUUGUCCGGAAUUACUGGGUGUAAAGGGCGUGUAGGCGGGGAUGCAAGUCAGAUGUGAAAUUCCGAGCUCAACUUCGGCGCUGCAUCUGAAACUGUGUCUCUUGAGUGCUGGAGAGGAAAGCGGAAUUCCUAGUGUAGCGGUGAAAUGCGUGAAUAUUAGGAGGAACACCAGUGGCGAAGGCGGCUU